rnacentral:rRNA from 1 species
UACAGAGGGUGCGAGCGUUAAUCGGAAUUACUGGGCGUAAAGCGCACGUAGGCGGACAUUUAAGUCAGGGGUGAAAUCCCGGAGCUCAACUCCGGAACUGCCUUUGAUACUGGGUGUCUUGAGUGUGGAAGAGGUGAGUGGAAUUCCGAGUGUAGAGGUGAAAUUCGUAGAUAUUCGGAGGAACACCAGUGGCGAAGGCGGCUCACUGGUCCAUUACUGACGCUGAGGUGCGAAAGCGUGGGGAGCAAACAGG